rnacentral:misc_RNA from 1 species
GAAAUGCGAUAGGUAAUGUGAAUUGCAGAAUUCAGUGAAUCAUCGAAUCUUUGAACGCACAUUGCGCCCGCCAGUAUUCUGGCGGGCAUGCCUGUUCGAGCGUCAUUUCAACCAUCAAGCCCCCGGCUUGUGUUGGGGACCUGCGGCUGCCCGCAGGCCCUGAAAACCAGUGGCGGGCUCGCUGUCACACCGAGCGUAGUAGCAUACAUCUCGCUCAGGGCGUGCUGCGGGUUCCGGCCGUUAAAAGCCUUUUUUACCCAAGGUUGACCUCGGAUCAGGUAGGAAGACCCGCUGAACUUAAGC